UCAUACCGAAAUGAGCUUACGGCCCUAUCACGUUGGAACACCGAAGUUAAGCAACAUUGAGCCUUGUCAAUGCCUAAAUGGGUGACCGCUUGGGAAUAUUAGGUGUUGUAAG